GCAUAUUACUAUGUGCUUGGGGAAUUCUCCUUGACAGAAAUGUUCAGUUGUCUAGCUCACAGGGAUAUCCACAAGCCAGACCCAGAAAGCCUUUGCUACCAUUGAUGAAGAUGCCAAGUCCACAGCCCAACAGCCAGAAGACCCUUGGUCUAGUAAGUGUCACCCUGUAAUUCUGUGAUCUGAGAGCUCCCAGGAGAUGAGACUGGUGAAGAAGCAAGGCUUCUUUGGGUCCCUAGUGUAAUCUUGGCUGAGGGAGAAGGGUCCUAUAAUUUCUGGAAUAAAUUUAAAGGAAGCUGUGAAAUUUCCU
rnacentral:lncRNA from 1 species